rnacentral:lncRNA from 1 species
GAGCAGAUGGGGUUCAGGGUGGGGCCAUCGAGUGAGGAGGGGCUUGGCGGUGCCUGAGCCAGGGUGUUGCCCAGGCAGCUGGGCACAUGGGCCUGGUGCUGGAGUGGGCCAAACUGCCCCAGCAGGCCCCAGGGAAGGACGGCAGGCUGGGAUGCCGUCCCCACGGACUCCCUCUCCUCUCUUAGCCCUGGCACUAAGUGCGUUCCUCUGGCAAAGAAGAAAAUAAUUUCUGUCCCUCGCCAUCUGCUGCAUGGGAAGAUGGGAAUGGAGUGAGCACGGUAUGAGGGGAUCAGGAACGUCAAGGGGCUGUGUCCAGCUGCCCAAACCAUCCAAGAGGCCGGCACCGUGCUGAGGACAGUGGCGGGGACAGGAGCCAAGGCAAGACAGAUGCUGCGUCCUGCAAUGGCCCCACCAUGGACCCUCGUCAUCCAACCGAAGUCGCCCCCUUGCCUGGCUUUAUCUUCACUAUAUUGUGAGGCUGCUUCAUUGAAUCUUAUCCCAGACUUUAACUUUUCCAUGACUGCCGUGAUUUUGCCAUGUUGUUCACACAGAGUGUGUCUGACCUUAGCUGCAUUGCCACCGCCUUUGGGACCCUGAGCCUUCUUGCCAGCACUGUCACUCCCAGAGGUUGCUUCCACUUUCCCCUUUUCCAGAACCACUUGUUCCUUUGGGUGGCAUCCUGGAAACUUGCUGUUGAAGUCUCAACUGCCUCAGUGGUUCUUCAAGGGAGGUCCUCAGGCCACCACCUGAGAAAUUGUUAGAAAUGCAAGUUUCUGGGCUGCAUCCCAGACCUGCUGAAUCAGAAAUUUGGGGAGGAGCACGGACUUUGGCACCAGAGAGCUGGGUGCAGCUCUCAGCUCUGCGUCAUCCUUGCUGUGGGACCCUGGGUUAUUGCUGAGCCACUGUGAGUCUGUUUCCUCGUGGGUAUAGUAGGGUAAGUAAUAGUGCCUACCUCAGAACAUUAGUGUGAGGCCUCGAGGGGUAUAUACUAAGAACCAACAUUUGUUCAGCAUUUGCCUUGUGCCAGGCCUUUGCAAUGCCCUUUAUACACAGCACCUCAUAGGAACCUCACAGCAACCCCCCGGGUGGGCACCAUUAUUAUCCCCAUUUUACAGAUGAGGAAGUGGAGGCUCAGAGGGAUACAUUGCUAAGUUUCACUAGUGAGUGUUCCUGGCAAGUGGCAGAGCCGUCUACUUCCAAAGUCAUGUGUUGACUCACCUCACUAUGCUGUCUCUAAUGCCACAAACCUUCAUGUGGGGCUGAUUUGUGGUGAAAAAUUGAGGGUGACAGCUUUUGGUUUCUUUGUUCCUUCUGCUCUAGUCCCCUCAGCCCCCAGCCCUGCCCCCUCUCAGAACUCAGCCACAGAAAGCUGGCCCUGGAACCACGAUGGGCUUAACAGGGGGUGGGCAGAGAAGGCGGGGAGGGGUGUGGGGUUGGCUGUCACUGAAGCGAAUGCCCCUGAGUAGUAGCGGGAGGGCCGGUGUCGGGAGGGGCCGCCGGGAAGACAGAUGGUCUGGGCUUUGUCACUUGCUAAUUUGGGCUUCUGUGCUUCCCAAACCAAGCCAGGGCAGCCAGGGCUGACAGGUGUCAGCCUCUGAGGUGAUAGGCCCUGACUCCACAACCCACGGCCUUACAAGGCUUAGCUCCUCUGGCCAGACACUUCCUUCCCUUGCCCCGUGGCCUCCCCAGCCCCGGGAGGGACAAGGAUGACACUGGGAGUCAGUGGCACUAGAGGCUGGAAACCCCUCCAGGCCUUCCCCUCUCACCGAUGCCCAUCUCACCAUCCCUCUUUCCUGGACUUGCCUUUUCCUCCCGCGAUCUGGCCAGCUCUGGUUCUCACUCCUUCUCCUGGCAAUUCUUCCAUCCAUUUCCAUUGAGCUGGGCAGUCACAGAAGAUCUGAGAGGGUACUGACCACAGAGGCCAUUCUCCUGAGGCCUGGAUUCUGGUCAAGGCUGCCUCAGCCUCUACCUGGACUUUGAAAGAGGAUAAAGGGGGCCAGACAUGGUGGCUCAUGCCUGUAAUCCCAGCACUUUGGGAGGCCAAGGCAGGAGGAUUGCUUGUGCCCAGGUGUUCAAGACCAACCUGGGCAAUAUAAGGAGAUGCCACCUCUAUAAAAAAUUAAAAAAAUAUUUUUAAAAAGAGGUUAAGGGAAAGCCAGCAGCCUUGUCCCAGGGAGGGGGACCCCAUGGAAGCCAGGCUCAGCCUCAGGUCCCUGCACACCCUUAACCCGCUUUACAAAUGAGGAAGCCAAGGUUCAGAGAAGAUGCUGCAUAGCUGGAUCAAUUCUGCAGUGAACCUAAAUUCAGCUUAGUGUCUAGAAGGCCUGCAAUAAGGCUAGGCCAAUGCAAUGAGGGGAAACUCAUGUGGUAUAGAGUAGGGCUUGGACAUGAAGCUGGAUUAGGAAUUAGAACAAGGUCAGUUUUGGCAUUUUGCAUGCUGUGUGCAGAAUGGAUUGAGAGCACAAGCGGCCACCUCAGUAAACCAAGCAAGAGAGUAGAGAGCAAGAAGGUGAAGGUUCUAGUAGGUUAGGGAUAAAGACAGGGGCAGGGAUUAUACUGGGGUUAAAAGGAGGGUUAGGGCCAGGUGUGGUGGCUCACGCCUGUAAUCCCAGCACUUUGGGAGGCCGAGGCGGGUGGAUCACGAGGUCAGGAGAUCAAGACCAUCCUGGCUAACACGGCGAAACCCUGUCUCUACUAAAAAUACAAAAAAGUAGCCGGGCGUGGUGGCAGGUGCCUGUAGUCCCAGCUAUUCGGGAGGCUGAGGCAGGAGAAUGGCGUGAACCUGGGAGACAGAGCUUGCAGUGAGCUGAGAUUGCACCAUUGCACUCCAGCCUGGGUGACACAGCGAGACUCCAUCUCAAAAAAAAAAAAAAAAAAAAAAAGGAGGGUUAGUUUUAGGAUUUGAAUUGGGCUAAAGUUAAGGUUAGGGAAGUGUCUUUGCUUUGUGGGCAGCGUGACAGAGCACUGGGCUGGGAGUUAGGAGACCUAACCCCUCACCCUGUGGCCUCUCCUCGAGGGGCCUCGAUUUCCUCACGGGCACAUGGAUUGGACUGGACGGUCUUCCUGCUCUGGCGUCCUGCAAUGCUCUCGGCAAGAUCAGAGCUGGCUUUCUGGAAGGCCAGGCCCUGGUGGGGCUGGAUUGUGGCCCACUCUUCCUCAGGGCUGCCUUGCUGUGAAACCUGGGCUGGUUUGUUUCACUGACCCUCCCAGGUCACUGUUUUCCUGACUGGUCCUAAGCACAGCCGGAACCAUGAAGUCCAGGGCCCAUCAAGGCACCGAAGAAUGUAUUAGUUUCUCAUUGCUGCUGUGGCAAGUCAGCACAAAUAACCCAAGUUUAUUAUCUUACAGUUCUGGAGGGCAGAAGUCUGAAGUCAGUCUCCCUGGGCUGCAAGGCAAGGUGGUGGGAGGCCUGCUUCCCCCUGCAGGCUCUAGGGGAGAAGCCGUUCCCUGGCCUUUUUUGGCUUCUAGAGGCUGCCUGCAUUCCUUGGCUCAUGGCCUCCCUCCAUGAUCAAGGCCAGCAGCAUAGCAUCUUUUCUGACAUCUGCUUCCUUCAUCGCAUUUCCUUCUCUCAGCCUUGCUCCUCAAGCCUCACUCAGCUGAGAAGGACACUUGUGUUUAGAUGGGGCCCACCAAGAUAAUCCAGGAUAAUCUCCCCAUCUCAAGUGUCUUAAUGUAAUCACAUCUGCAAAAUCCCUUUGCCAUAUAAGGUAACAGAUUCACAUUUGCAUUAGGGCACGGGCACCUGUGGGGACCAUUAUUCAGCCUAGCGCAAAGGGUGCUGCCUGGGGAUCUCCAGGGCCAGGAGCACUCUCUCUGGCUCUGUGUCUAGGAAGGGUCCUCCCUGACCAGUAAGCAUCUGAGUCAGACAGAACCUCAGCUCUGGGACAGCUGUGCCUGCUCUGCAGGGAGAAUAGGAAGCCUGGCCCCAGGGCAGAUGUGCACUGAGAAGGGGUGACCUUUUCUGUAGGCAAGGAGGGGAGGAGAAAGGCUGCAGAGGCGCACUUGGCUGGGGCAGUGAGUGGGCCACAGGGCUAAGACCUCCAGUGGCGGCCCCUCAGCUGGGUGUGGGCGGCCUGAAUCAUUGAGGCCUGCUCUGCACCCACUCCAUACAUGAAGGAAGAUGGGGGUCAGGGGCAAGGACAACAGGGCACUGCAUUCUUGCUUUUGAAGGCCACCUUUGAGAGACUGCAGGAGAGAGACGCUAAAGAAGUCAGUGUGUGAACUGGGGUCAAAGGUCAGGGUGGAUCUGAGAGGGUGAGCUGGAGGCUGGAUUCCACAUGGUGUGCAGGGAUGGUGGGGAUGGAAUUGGGACACUGGGGUGAGGGGUCCUGGUCCCAUGCUGUCCAACAGAGUGUGAAGAUGAAUCACUCCGAGUCUGAGAUUCUCCAUGGCUCCUGCCCAGGGAGGGCCCCUGGCUGCACUAUGUUCUCCACGUCUUGCUGCGGACAUCCGGCCACCUACUUUCUUGGCUUUUGUUCACCCUGCUUUGUUCUUCUAUUUGUCGAACUGUCUUCUUUUGUUUUUCCUUUUCAAAAAGCAGGAUAAUUCAUGCAGAGAAUUCAUUUUUUGAGAAUAUCAAGGCCUUUUAAGAAAGUUAUUGUAUAGGCUGGUCAUGGUAGCUCAUGUCUGUAAUCCCAGCACUUUGGGAGGCCGAGGCAGGUGCGUUGCUCAAGGCCAAGAGUUUGAGACUAGCCUGACCAACAUGGUAAAACCCCAUCUCUACUAAAAAUAUAAAAAAUAGCCAGGCAUGGUGGCGUGCCUGUAGUCCCAGCUACUCAGGAGGCUGAGGCAGGAGAAUCACUUGAACCCGGGAGGUGGAGGUUGCAGUGAGCCACUGUACUCCAGCCUGGGUGACAGAGCCCCUGUACUCCAGCCUGGGUGACAGAGUGAGA